rnacentral:rRNA from 1 species
UACGUAGGUGACCAGCGUUGUCCGGAUUUACUGGGCGUAAAGAGCGCGCAGGCGGUCGUUCAAGUCGAGUGUGAAAGCCCCCGGCUCAACUGGGGAGGGUCACUCGAUACUGAUCGACUUGAAGGCAGGAGAGGGAAGCGGAAUUCCCGGUGUAGUGGUGAAAUGCGCAGAUAUCAGGAGGAACACCUAUGGCGAAGGCAGCUCGCUGGGACGGUACUGACGCUGAGGCGCGAAAGCGUGGGGAGCAAACAGG